rnacentral:rRNA from 1 species
CCCUUAGAUGUUCUGGGCCGCACGCGCGCUACACUGAUGCAUUCAACGAGCCUAUCCUUGACCGACAGGUCCGGGUAAUCUUUGAAUCUGCAUCGUGACGGGGAUAGAUUAUUGCAAUUAUUAAUCUUCAACGAGGAAUGCCUAGUAGGCGCAAGUCAUCAGCUUGCGUCGAUUACGUCCCUGCCCUUUGUACACACCGCCCGUCGCUCCUACCGAUUGGGUGUGCUGGUGAAAUGUUCGGAUCGGCCGUUUGUCGCGGUUUCCGCGUCAUGUGACUGAGAAGUUCAUUAAACCCUCCCACCGAGAGGAAGGAGAAGUCGUAACA